GGUCUGGGGAACCCUGGCCAACCCAGGGUUUAAAAACAUGUGCUGGCACUGAAAUUAUUUUUUAAAGUUGCAUUGGUAACAAAUGGUUGUUGCCCAAAAAACUCAGACGGUGUGUAGAGAUUUAUAAAAGAAAAAGUGGACUCCUCCAGUUACUUCCCCCAGAUUUGUGCACUGGGAGUUUGUUUUUCAGGACCCAUUUCUGAACAUUUAUUAUAACAGUAGCCCCUGCAUACUCACGCACAUGCACACGCACACACACACCUCUGAAUUUUGUUGCUUUAAAAUGUUAACAUUAGCGGGAUCACGUUGUGUGAAGACGGCCACAGAUUACUUUCUUGUUGAACACUGAAGAGUGGACAUCUUGACGUUUGUUGAUCUUGGCUAAUUGGUAUGAGCUGAGCCUCUCCGCUCUGUAGGAGUCUGCCGUGGGGGAAGGAUGGCCUUCCAGUGGAGGUGUCAGCCAUUGCUAUCCCUGAACCUGGCCCAUGCCGGCUACCCCGUAGCUGCUCCUAGCACCUUUCUCUUCCAGUCUGUCCUCUAUGAUAAAGUUUUGGAGUGAUGGGGGGGUUCAUGGGGUCAGAGCCAAUGGCCAAGAAAGGAUUCUUGAAGAUGUCUCUGGUGCAAAAAGGUGAUUUUAUUAUUAAGGACCUGUGGGCAGGAAAAGCAGCACUGGGGCUGUGAGGGGUAACUCAGAUGCCCUCAGGUUUAUGGGGGUCAGGGAUAAAGUAUGUCUCUAAGGAUUUUUGGAAGCAAUGAUUCCAGGACCUUGAGGGCCCAGCUGUUGCUAGAGAAACACCAUUUAUCACCAUUUAGUAAAGCCUUAGUGAUGAAACCCUUUAGAUGCAUAUUGGGGGACCAUAAGCUUGGAGUAUGAUUGCCAGCAUGUAUCUUGGGGCCCUUGAGAUAAAGGAAAUUGACUUACAGGAUCCUUGAGGUUGGAAUAAUGUUAAGCCAAGGUUUCCUUUUGUUCCCAGCAAAGUGCCAUCCUUGAGACAGCUGAACUCCUAGAGGGAGGUCACUCUGCUGUCUCAAGGACCUGUCGUUGGCCAGAGGCAGUAAGGGAAUUUAACUUUUCUUUUGCCUUAGUUUCCCACAUCACUGUGGCGAGCAGUUAAACCCCUUUCCUUUGUGCUUGGGGAGCCAGGAGUGUCCGAGGAACAUCACACCUAUUCCACCUGGGGACAGGGGGUGGUGUGCCAGCCUGUAUUUUGCCCUCAACUUGUGAUAUAUGCCCCAUCACCCGACAUCACUUUUCCUGGUGCCUGGCAGAUUGCAUCCUUCGCUUGCUCUGACCCUCCCUGGGCACAGACCCUCUGCUAGUUCCCACCAGCGCUUCUGCUUGGCUGUUGGUGGAGUUCUCUCGGUUCACUGAGACUGGCAUAUCCAUGUCCUCUAUCCCCAGGAACAACUCUCGUACCUUUACCCAGCCUGAUAUGAGCUACUGUAAACUUACCCUGCAGGGGUGGGUUCACUCACCUCUUAACCAGAUUCCUAGUGCCAGGUGUUCUCUUGAAGGCACUGAUGGGGAGGUUCAGGCUGGAGAUAUCCCCUACCAGGUUGCCAGCUGGCCAGACUUAGGGACAGUUUCUGCAAUAGGAAGUGACCUUGAGGGUAUGAGUGGCUGGCUGGAGGGGUGUGCAUGGUCUAUGGCCCUAAUUGGGUGGGCAUUUGCCCCAGGAAGAUGAUGUGUGGCCUGAGUAAAUCAGGUGAGACCAGUGUCCCAAGGCCUUGCCAUGGCAGUGGACCCAGCACCCCUCUGUCAAGAAGCGCUUGUGAUUAUGAAGAUGGAGGAUGAUGAGGCCACCUCAUGAGAUCCUGAAGCCCACUCUGACCCUCCGCCCUCCACCCUGCUGUCCAGGCUUUAUAGGGACCCCUGACAGCGCUUCUGCUAUGAAGAGGCACCAGGGCCCCAAGAGGCCCUAGCCAGGCUACAAGACCUUUGCCACCAGCGGUGGAGGCCUGAGGCACACUCCAAGGAGCAGAUGGUGGAGCUGUCAGUGCUGGAGCAGUUCCUUGGUGUGUUGCCACCUGACACCUGGGUCUGGGUGGACUCCCAGUGCCCUGGGAGCGCUGAGGAUGCUGUGGCGCCAGUGGAGGACCUUGCUCAGAUGAUGCAGGAGACUGGUACUUGUGUGUUUGCAGUCCUAGUGGUAAUCCGGGGGCUUCCUCUGGAGGAGAGAAGGUGUUGCUCACAGACAUUGGCUGAGCACACAUGGGAAGGAGAGCAGACCAGGCAAGGACCAUGCCCAGGGUCUCCUGCCAGAGGGUCAGGGUCAGGGCCAGGGUGAUGGCGGCACUGAAAUCAGACAUGUUCUUUAGCUAUGUCUGGAGACAGUGAUGCAGACAGAGCCUCCUCUACCAUUUCGGGGCUGAAGAUCCCUUUUAAGAAGCCACCCAGCACAAGCCAGUGCCCAACACCAAGCGGGACCACAAGGCUGUCAACCUGCAGGUGAAGCUUGGGGUGCUGUGGCACUUCAAAGCCAGAGAGAAGCUCAGCAGAACUGGGAAGGCACUAGAGCCCUUCACCUCCGCUGUGGCUACCGUUCGUGACAACGAGGAGAUCCAAGCCAGUUCCCAUGCAGCCACAUGGCAGGCGGCCACCAGAUUGACAUGCAGCCGUAGCCUGGUGAUGGAGAACAUGGAGCAGAUGCUAAGCGUGUGGAUUGAUGACCAGAAGCAUCACAAUGUGCCCAUCAAUGUCACGUUCAUCCAGAAGGUGGCUCACAGCCUGUUCAAGGACCGCAAGCAGGAGCAGGGCCCAGGUGCCCAAUCAGAGACCUUUGAGUCCAGUCGAGGGUGGUUUGUUGUUUUAAGGCACACCAAAGCCUGCACGGCCUUGGGGCGGGUGGUGAGGCUGUGGGCUAUGAGGCCAUAGGCACAACUGCUGCAAACUGCACACAGGUACCCUGCCUUGCUUCAGAGUGAUCCAGGAAGGGGGCUGCACACCUCGGCAGGCGUUCAGUGUGGAUGAGACUGGGCUUUUCUGGAAGUGACUGGCUGACAGGAUGUUCCUUCCCCUGGAGGAGAAAUCAGCCCCUGGGUGCAAAGCUGCCCAAGAUAUCCUGACGUUGCUACUUGGUUGCAGUGCCGCUGGUGACUUUAAGCUGAAGCCACUGCUGGUGUAUCCCUCAGAGAACCCUCACGCCCUCAAGAGCUUCUCCAAGCCUGGUGUGGCAUUCACACAAGAAAGCCUGGGUGACCAUGAGCGUCUCCCAGGAGUGGUUUGUGCACUUCUUCUCCCCAGCUGUGGAGAGGUACUGUGUCCAGCACAGCCUCCCGUACAAAGCACUGCUCAUCCUGGACAGUGCCCCUGGCCACCCUGGGAACCUGGAUGACCCCUCCGACUGUGUGUGUGUGUGUGUGUGUGUGUGUGUGUGUGUGUGUGUGUGUAGUACUUGCCCAAGAACACCAUGGCCCUCGUCCAGCCCAUGACCCAGGAUGUUGUUGCCACCUUCAAGGACUGCUACUUAUGGAGGGUCUUCUGCCUGUUUGGCAUUGAGGGUGGGAAACAGGGACCAGCAGUCUGUGGUCUUUAACGUCUGGUGAGACUAUAGCAUCCUUGACACUGCUUCGGAGCCCUGGGGCAGAUUUGUCCAUUGAGGAACUGGUAUGGCUGGAGCAGGAGUGUGAAGCUGGAGUGGAGGGUGAAGACAGUUCACCAGUCCUCCCCCAGUUCACAGCUAGACUCUUGGCCAAGGCUCUGACACACUUAGAUGUUGGCCAGCAAAUCGUCAGUGACAAUGACCCCAACCUGGAGCACAGCCUCAAAGUCUACCGCGUAUAAACAAGAUAAACAUCUGUUAAUCAGGAGCUCUUCAGGGAGAAGAGAGUCCCUAAA